rnacentral:lncRNA from 1 species
UCGAGUCUGGACCACACAAUCCAGUUAUGUAUUGAUUAGCAUCGAUGCAUUGUAUUGUAUGCAUUGUAUGCAUAAUAUCAGAAACGGGAAUGUAUCCAAUCAUCAAACAGUGGUGAUACGAGAAGUCAAAAAGAAAGUCAAGUCACAAACACACGCCAAGGCAGGUCAAAUCACCAAACUGGAGACCAAGUCAAGACAUCCAAUCAUGAAGCAUACACUUUAUGGAUAAACAACUUUACAUUUAUUGCAAAGAGCGACGUUUCAGAGUAGAUAGAUUCUUAUUCUUAUUUCUUAUCAAACUGAAACGUCGCUCUAUACAAUAAACAAGAAGUUGUUCUCCACAGAGUCGUAUGCAUCAUUAUUGACUCAUCAACUUCUAGAAUGGAAAUCAAACAAUAAGACAGUGAAUGCCAACUUGGAACCAUGAAUAUGCUAAUCGUGUUUGCGCCAAACCUUUGAGGAAUAUUACAUGACAGUCACUCAGGAGAACACUCAAGUGUUUCUUACCCAAGUACGAGUGUAAUUACAUCCUUGGUAACAGUUUUGUUUGGUUCAACAUGCAUGCUGUCUUGCAGUUGGAUCCCGCACAACCUUUGCGCAUAUGCAUCAUGAAGUGUUUGGUGGCUAAUAAAUAAUUAAAUAGGGAAUUUGGUUUUCUGUGUAACUAUAUGUUGCAGCACCAGAAAGUAGUGUACUGUUUAUUGGAAAAGAGCUACUCACUCCAUGAGGACAGUUUGUUACAAUUGUUGGUAUCUGGAGUUGAGGAGGAGGAAUGAAUCUUCUGGUAUUUAUCCCCCUCUUCUUGCAGGAGGUUUUCGCAAAAGAGGCUUUUGUUUCCAGAAGUCUGUUUAAUAAACUCAUCCUAAUGGACAACGCCAAUGCCACCCAGACACCGACCAGCAUCCACCAGUAGGAGAGUGAGCAGGAAUGUGCCGGUAUCUGUGCGAGGGAUGAAGUCUGUGUUUCUGUGAUCCAUCAUGGCGGUCAGUGCUACAUCUACAGGUCACCUCCAUCUAUCUCCAGUGUUUCUGUUCCCGGCGCCAGAAGUUUCAUUAAGCGAGUUCCGUGCCCCGAGUCACAGGGUUACAAAUCAGCCCCGUCAGUAGACCUGUGCUUCAAAUACCAAGAGGUUAAAAUGAAUUGGAGAGCCAGCCAGGAACAAUGUGAGAGUGAGGGCGGCCGCCUGAUCAUCCUGAACACCUUGGAGAAACUUGACUACAUAGUUGCCACAUUGGUUCACGGGUCUGUACCUCCAUAUAUUGGUCUGCGAAAGAAGAGUGGAACAGUUCGCUGGACAGACGGUUCAACUUAUCUCACUGGAAGUUCUAAGAUCAAGCUUAAUGGAUGUGGACAUCUGGGUAAAAAGAUAAUUAGCACCUAUUAUUGUAGUUGGAACCGGCCUGCUGUUUGUGAAAUAGUGACUUAACACUCGAGUGAGCCACAAGCUGACGUUACACCAGCAGGUUUCAACGAUACCGCGGCUGUAAAAAGAAAGAUAACAAAAGAAUACACGGCAAAAAUAACCGUAGCAUAACCAGACAACCAUAGGUUUAUGUUUAAUUGUUCAAAAUUGCCUCUGUUCACCAGCAGAAAAUGGGUACCCGGUGGGAUAAGUCAUGUCUCUAUUAACCUUCUAGCACCUCACAGGCAGCUUGGGUUAUUUGGGGUAAUAGUAAUGUGAUUGUUAGCAGUAUAACCAUUCACCUAGUGAAUGGAGUUUCCUGCAUUAUAAACGCAAUUAUUAUUAUU